GGCAAGUUCAUCCGCAUCAACUUUGAUGUAACCGGUUACAUUGUGGGGGCCAACAUUGAAACCUACCUUCUUGAAAAGUCCAGGGCUAUUCGCCAAGCCAAAGAUGAACGCACCUUCCAUGUCUUCUACCAGCUGUUGGCUGGUGCUGGAGAACAUCUAAGAUCUGAUCUACUCCUGGAGGGCUUCAAUGACUACCGCUUCCUCUCCAACGGUAACAUUCCCAUUCCUGGCCAAC